rnacentral:rRNA from 1 species
GACGAACGCUGGCGGCGUGCCUAAUACAUGCAAGUAGAAUGCACAGUUUAUACCGUAGCUUGCUACACCAUAGACUGUGAGUUGCGAACGGGUGAGUAACGCGUAGGUAACCUGCCUGGUAGCGGGGGAUAACUAUUGGAAACGAUAGCUAAUACCGCAUAAUAUUGAUUAUUGCAUGAUAAUUGAUUGAAAGAUGCUAUUGCAUCACUACCAGAUGGACCUGCGUUGUAUUAGCUAGUAGGUGAGGUAACGGCUCACCUAGGCGACGAUACAUAGCCGACCUGAGAGGGUGAUCGGCCACACUGGGACUGAGACACGGCCCAGACUCCUACGGGAGGCAGCAGUAGGGAAUCUUCGGCAAUGGACGAAAGUCUGACCGAGCAACGCCGCGUGAGUGAAGAAGGUUUUCGGAUCGUAAAGCUCUGUUGUAAGAGAAGAACGGGUGUGAGAGUGGAAAGUUCACACUGUGACGGUAGCUUACCAGAAAGGGACGGCUAACUACGUG